UACGUAGGAUCCAAGCGUUAUCCGGAAUUACUGGGCGUAAAGCGUACGUAGGUGGACGUUUUAAGUGAGAUGCGAAAUCUGGCGGCUCAACCGUCAGACUGUGUCUCAUACUGGGCGUCUGGAGGAUGGCAGAGGCAAGUGGAAUUUCCGGUGUAGCAGUGAAAUGCGUAGAGAUCGGAAGGAACACCAAUGGCGAAGGCAGCUUGCUGGGCCACACCUGACACUGAGGUACGAAAGCGUGGGGAGCGAACAGGG
rnacentral:rRNA from 1 species